UGGGGAAUAUUGGGCAAUGGGCGCAAGCCUGACCCAGCAACGCCGCGUGAGGGAAGAAGGCUUUCGGGUUGUAAACCUCUGUCCUUGGUGACGAAAAAAAUGACGGUCGCCAAGGAGGAAGCCCCGGCUAACUACGUGCCAGCAGCCGCGGUAAUACGUAGUGGGCGAGCGUUGUCCGGAAUUACUGGGCGUAAAGGGUGCGUAGGUGGCCUUUUAAGUUGGAUGUGAAAUCCCCGGGCUUAACUUGGGUGGUGCAUCUAAUACUGGAGGGCUAGAGUGCAGGAGAGGGAAGCGGAAUUCCUAGUGUAGCGGUGAAAUGCGUAGAUAUUAGGAGGAACACCAGUGGCGAAGGCGGCUUUCUGGACUGUAACUGACACUGAGGCACGAAAGCGUGGGGAGCAAACA
rnacentral:rRNA from 1 species